GUAGUGGGGCCCUCGCUCAGCUGUUGCGGGGCGGGGCUGCUGCUGACCAUGGCGGGCGAGUUCGAGAGCUCCAAAUCUCUGAGUGGGUUGCUGAACGGCCUGGCCCAGGAAGCUUUCUAUGGGCACCAAGGCAUCACGGAGGAGCUGCUGCGGAGCCAGCUCUAUCCCGAGGUGUCACUCGAGGAAUUCCGCCCCUUUCUGGCGAAGAUGAGGGGGAUUCUUAAGUCAAUUGCAUCUGCAGACAUGGAUUUCAACCAGCUGGAGGCAUUCUUGACUGCUCAAACCAAAAAGCAAGGUGGGAUCUCAUCUGACCAAGCGGCUGUCAUUUCCAAAUUCUGGAAAAGCCACAAGAUAAAAAUUCGAGAGAGUCUCAUGAACCAGAGCCGUUGGGACAGUGGGCUUCGGGGCCUGAGUUGGAGAGUUGACGGCAAAUCGCAGUCAAGGCAUUCAGCUCAGAUACAUACCCCUGUUGCCAUAAUGGAGCUGGAAAUAGGGAAAAGUGGACAGAUUGGACCAGAAGUAUAUCAAAGCCCAUAAAAUCCAUUGCAUCAUAUGAUGAAGUCUUUUGCUGGAUAUAGCUGUAAAGAUCUGGAUCAGAUAGAUAAGAUCUGUCUUCACUUCCAUAGUUCUUCCACGUACCUUAACUCUGGCUUGGUUUCUUCCUAGUUAAUAGGACUGCUCUAAGGAUCAGAUGAGGUCAUUCAUACAAAAGGGCUUUCUAAACUGUAAAGCACUGUGUUAGUGUGAGGGAUGAUUGUUGUAUAUGAACAAAGGCCCCAGCAACCUAAGUGAUGUCAGAAUGCAACCCUAGGUAAUAAAGAUGCAAUCUCCUCUCUUCCUGCCACUUCAGAAGUUUGCAGUAAAUUAUUUGAGCUAAAAAGGCUAGUGACUAACUUCAUGCACUGACUGCAAAUCCUUUCUUCUUCUCUCAUCCCCAUAUUCUCUCACGGAAUGGUGUGCCAGAUUCUGAGUCAGUCUUCAGGCCUGGACUUUGGGACACGGCAUGGCAGGCAAAGUAUUUCAUAGGAUCUGGGAAUGAGGAUUAGCAAAGAUUUCUUUUGUACCAUUUUCCAAUCCCCCUCCUGGCAGCUUUUAUCCUGUCAGCCCCCACAGAUUAAAUCACAUUUCAAAAUUGAGUUCAGUGAGGAUGAAGCCAGAUGAGGCUUCUGCCAAACUAGGCUGGCAGACCUGAGUAAGCAGCAGAUAGCGAGUGUGCAUGUAUGUGUGUGUGUUUCUGGAAUAUUAUAAAUUUCUUUCUGUAUAAUAAGAACAGCAAGCCUAGAAUUAUGUGUGAGAUCAUCAUCAUUAUCAUCAACCAAAAACACAUAAUGCUUGGUAAAUGCGACCCUCCAAGCUGUUGUGAUUAUUAUGGGCUGAAUUGUGUCCCCUGCCAAUUCAUAUUAAAGUCCCAACCCCCAAAGCCUUAGAAUGUAACUGUAUUUGGAGUUCGUUGGAAACCCAACAAAAUUAAUUACCUUUCCCCCACAAACUUGACAAAAAUAAAAAAAUGUUUCCAAAACUUUUUCUCCCCAAAUCAGCAUUUUCUGAAUCUGAAAGCUCUCCCACCCUUAGUCAUUUCAUCCUUUACCCUCUUUACAUAGUUUUGCUUUCUAAAGAGAAGAGUAAAGGGAGAUGCUUACUUUUUAACUAUGCCUAUUUCUGUAUAAUUGUGCUGUCAUGAAUGACUUAAAAGAAACCACAUUGAGACAGCUAGGACAUAGAUGGUGCUGUUGGCAGAGCAAGUUGAUGAUGCCUCUGGCUGGAGAAAAUCUGCAGUCCCAGAAUCGGUUUGAUUAGUUUUACUUCUGUUUUCCUCCCUUGCCCAAGAGUUUGUCAUUCAUUGCUGUACUCUGGUCUUUUUAAUGGGAAUCUGAAUUUCUAUGUUUGGAAUUUGAUGAAGUCAAGGUCAAUCAACUCCUAAAGAAGCUUUCAGAGGUAGAAGAAAGUAU